AAUAGCAAUAUCUGCGGGUGAAAGCUUUUCCUAUUUCAACUUUCUAACCUGGCAACACCACCUUGCUGAGGAAGGCUACUACGAGGACGCCAUUCUGCCGCCGCCUCACUGCCUCCUGGCCCCCCGGCUGGAUCCCCAUCAUUUCCCAGCUUCGGAUGAGUAACUGCUAUCUGUUGCGCGGAUACGAGAGAUUUCAGUUUUUAUCUCCCUUCUAACACAUUAGUCGCUUCUGUUGAAGGACGAGGCGAUGUCUCAAGUGAGCAGCACCUAAGAUCUCGAGCAAGAGCACCCCACCCUGCAGAUCGUGGAGAAUUGUUAGCGCGCAUGCUUCAAGGCGGUGGUCAAUAGUCUGAUAACUCGCCUCGUCAAGCCUCGCCUCCGCUGUUUUGAAUCAUCAUUGGUGACUACCAGAUAACGUACAGGAGGCAAAGUGUGCGCCAAUAAGAGCCAGCUCGUUUUGGAGAGGAUGCCCAGAAAGUUGACCCCUAAAACCCUGUGAUGGGUUCGCAGAAUUUUUGCCUUGUCGGUUUUCUUCAUGCGCACCAACCACAUGGAGAUUACUGCACGGCCAUAACAAUCGAAACUUUCGAGCAAUGAAACAAAACAUGUACAAAGUGAAAAUCUUUCAAAUGCAGGAAGAACAUAUUCGCCCAUCUCAAUCAAUCUUGGAAUCAUUAAAACUAUCCGAACAAAAACAGCACUGGGAAUCGCUAUGACGACAACAACAGCCCUUUUGCGAUUGGGGUAUGUAUGUAUAAGGCAUGGCGAAAAGGCCUUGGAAAAAUUCGACAAUUAUGCGGCAAUGCAAUGACCAUACGAAGCAAAGAGAAUAUGAAAUAGAAACAAUAGCAAUUAUAAAACUUUUCUUUUUCAUGAGAUGACAAAUUCUCCGCCCAAAAACUAUCACGCAGAACGAGAAAUACACAUGUGGGUAUCCGAGAGCUCGUUAAAAUAGAGCAGCAGCAACAGAAGCCAAAUCUAACAAAAGAAAAAUGGGUCUACGGUGUCAAGAAAAUCAUCACCGUUGGACGAAACCGAAAGCCGAGGUCGUGAUAUGAAAUAUGAGAAGACGCAAAGCGAACAAAACGAAAACUAAGGACUCAAUUCACAAAGCUCCGUAUCCCAAUUUUAAAACUUAAAAAAUAAAAAACGAAAAGAAAAACAGAAGAAAGAAGAAGAAGAAAAGAAAACGAUCCAUAUAGCAGGGCACCGUCCGGUACUAACUGUUUAUUAAUCAACAAGCAGUCAUGACUCCCGUUCGCCUCGCACAAGGCGACGAAACAGGCGAAUAUUCCUGUGGACUCAUGCUGCUGGUAGCUGAUGUUGUCGAUACCAAUGUAUCGCUUCGACCCUGCCGGGGCCCCAUCAACAAUGUCGACGAGCGUUCAGUGAAUUCCGCCUGUGGGGGUGCGAUGCUUCGCGGCGUGAAAAACUCAUCAUAGGGGAUUCCGGCCCGCUCUGGGUCACCACGCGCCGCAGAAGCUUCUGCGAGACUCUCCGUGGUGGAUAUCUGGACGGGCAACAGCAGAGCCAGCGUGGGAGCAGUCAGGUUCGCGUUGGGUGUGUGGUAGGAGAGUGAGAUUUCGAGCGCGUAGGUGCGCGACGACAGACAGGAGUGGAAGGUCGGGAGGUACGCGCGGGUUAACGGCAGGCUGAUGGGCACCAGGAUGGAGGCCGUGUAGAAGGUCUCCCCGGCGUACCCAGUUCUAGGCCCUAUCAGGGACUCGACUAAGCUUGUGGAUUGGAAGGAAUCCCUGCGACGGAGAAUGGAUGCCGCGGGGGAACAGGAUGAGGUGCUGGUAUGCUUCUGCCACGUUGCGGAGGCGACGCAGCGCGAUGCGAGAGGGACAGUUUGUGUAUAGAUGCCUCUGUUGAGCGCCCAGUUGAGAGAAGAGUUCUUAGCAGCGAUGUCGGCCCAAGGCUGCGCCGAGAAGAAUGUGUUUGCCUUUAGCCUUGUCCACAUCCUACCAAGGCGGGGUGGUUGUUGCUCCUCAUUUGCGGGCUCGAAUCGAAGGUGGACGGUCACCAUAGUGCUGGGAACAUCUUCUACCGAUUGAGUUGUAGUAGAUGAUGUUGGGACGGGGAUCGCUUUUGGUUGAGCUGCGGCCAUAACAAUUCGGCCUAUCUUGCCCCUAAGGGAGCCCUUUUUCACGUCCUUUUCUUUCCGCAUUUGGAACUCCUCGCUAUCGUCCGGAACGCUCAGUGGAGGAGCCUGAUCCACGGCCGGAAUGAAACGAAGUUUCUCUUUGGCGUCCACCAUCACUUUGAAGGAAUCAUCUGCCGGACACUUUUUAAACACCUGGGCCCUGACCGCAUACUGAAUUUGCGUAAUCAGCGGAGCCAUAUCAUCCAGAAUCGUGCCGCCGUUCCCCGAUAUAGUUGGAUCACCGAGUGAUGGUGGCAAAAGGGUGUGUGCCGCGUGGACUUGAGGAUGGUUGUGUUUAUGAUUGCAUGAACUGGGGAGUAAUUGCUCAGGGACAACAAAAGUAAAAGGGAAUGUGUAUGUUCGACCAGCCUCGAAAAGUCGGUACUGGGGAUAUUGUUGUUCAUCAAUUGGCUGCGCAAGGCACAAAAACGUGUGGAACGCGGAAUACCGGCCAAUGGCGGGUCCUGAGAGCCCAGGUGAUUCUAUGACAGUUCUAGAGGUGCCUAUUGGAUCGGGCUUAGCAAUGUUCCCAAGGCCCCUUUAUAUGGUUUGGGUCCGGAUUUCUUCUACCUUCAAAAGUGAUAGAUAGUUUCUCAAAGGAAACAUCAUAAUCAGAUCUAAUACUAACUUCUCCGUCGAUUUUGUCAAGAGUUGUGUAUGAAUUGACUGGGGAUGCCUGUUGAUCCUUGAGAGAAAUUCUCACCACGGGUUUCGAGCGUGGGGGGAAGGCAUUUAAGUUGCGGUUCAUAAUUGAGACAGCCAUUGUACCACUUGUAUCUCAAUCAAGCUGGAGUGGGCACGAGGGAACCUUGGGGGACGGGAGAAAGUUGGAUACAGCACAAAAUGGAUUAAGGUAACGCGGCAAAGCAAUUGAAACACAGGUCGGGGAGCUACAGGGGGGAAACGCAGGUUGAUAUAUGAUAAUUGAUGAAAAUUUACUCUAGAAUCUGUGCUAUCAAAACAUGUCAAAGGAGCGAGCUCUUCCAUGUCUCUUAUAGACCCGGGCACCGCCUAAAGGGAAUAACUACUCUCUUGCUGCUCACCCAUCUGUCAUCUAGGCCCACAAAAUGACACCACAGGGCAUGUGCGUCAUGGACCGGUUGGAGGAC
rnacentral:sRNA from 1 species